UUAACCAUUUACCUGCACCGCCAGGGGCAAUCCAUAGGUGCCGUACUUACGCAUUGCUCACUUUGGCUUCGAGUGCGAUCUGGUGAAGAUGUGUACGGUGUCCUCAAAACAUCUUCAGCCCCACGGAUAGUCGUUGAAAUGAUCAAUGUCGUCAACGAUUUCCAGAUGGAAGAGGUCGAUCGCAGUCUUCUUAUGGUGACACCGCACCACGCUCUUAAGAAUGUGGACCAGACCUAACUUCAGUCUGUCUAACAUCUUAUCACACCUCCUGAUUGUGUCCAACAGCUAUGUAAGAAGCACAGUUCCCUAUCUCUCGAAGUAAGCGUCAUGAAGUCUAUUUCUUCUCUGAAUCCCAUCACCAACUACUUCAUCGCCCGUAAUCUUUAAUCCCGUGAUCAUAGCAAACUCGCACAUCGAAAAACUGGCAACUUUACCCUCGAUUGCAAAGUGGAGGGCAUCGCCAUCGACUAGACUCAGCAAUCGACAUAGAAGUGCAUCAAUAAUCUAACCCGAGUACUGCAGAUCUUUCAACGGGUACAAGGGCCACAGGAAAGACUGGCACAACAUAUCAGCGUGUUGAUCAUCGAGUAGUUCUAACACAGCAGUGAAACUGUCAAAGCUACUAUUCCACGUAGUUUUGUCUGGCAUUUGUCUCAACUCUGCGUCAAGAUGAUAAUC
rnacentral:lncRNA from 1 species